AUUGAACGCUGGCGGCAUGCCUUACACAUGCAAGUCGAACGGUAACGGGCCUUCGGGUGCCGACGAGUGGCGAACGGGUGCGUAAUACAUCGGAACGUGCCCGAUCGUGGGGGAUAACGAGGCGAAAGCUUUGCUAAUACCGCAUACGAUCUACGGAUGAAAGCAGGGGACCGCAAGGCCUUGCGCGGACGGAGCGGCCGAUGGCAGAUUAGGUAGUUGGUGGGAUAAAAGCUUACCAAGCCGACGAUCUGUAGCUGGGCUGAGAGGAUGAUCAGCCACACUGGGACUGAGACACGGCCCAGACUCCUACGGGAGGCAGCAGUGGGGAAUUUUGGACAAUGGGCGCAAGCCUGAUCCAGCCAUGCCGCGUGCAGGAUGAAGGCCUUCGGGUUGUAAACUGCUUUUGUACGGAACGAAAAGCCUUCUUUUAAUACAGGAGGGUCAUGACGGUACCGUAAGAAUAAGCACCGGCUAACUACGUG
rnacentral:rRNA from 1 species